UACGUAGGCAGCAAGCGUUGUUCGGAAUUACUGGGCGUAAAGAGUGUGUAGGCGGUGCUCUAAGUUCGGUGUGAAAUCUCCCGGCUUAACUGGGAGGGUGCGCCGGAAACUGGAUGCUUGAGCGCGGGAGAGGAAAGCGGAAUUCCUGGUGUAGCGGUGAAAUGCGUAGAUAUCAGGAGGAACACCUGUGGUGUAGACGGCUUUCUGGACCGUAGCUGACGCUGAGACACGAAAGCGUGGGUAGCAAACAAG
rnacentral:rRNA from 1 species